GACGAACGCUGGCGGCGUGCUUAACACAUGCAAGUCGAACGGAAAGGCCCUGCUUUUGUGGGGUGCUCGAGUGGCGAACGGGUGAGUAACACGUGAGUAACCUGCCCUUGACUUUGGGAUAACUUCAGGAAACUGGGGCUAAUACCGGAUAGGAGCUCCUGCUGCAUGGUGGGGGUUGGAAAGUUUCGGCGGUUGGGGAUGGACUCGCGGCUUAUCAGCUUGUUGGUGGGGUAGUGGCUUACCAAGGCUUUGACGGGUAGCCGGCCUGUGAGGGUGACCGGCCACAUGGGGACUGAGAGACGGCCCAGACGCCUACGGGAGGCAGCAGUGGGGAAUAUUGCACAAUGGGCGGAAGCCUGAUGCAGCAACGCCGCGUGCGGGAUGACGGCCUUCGGGUUGUAAACCGCUUUCGCCUGUGACGAAGCGUGAGUGACGGUAAUGGGUAAAGAAGCACCGGCUAACUACGUG
rnacentral:rRNA from 1 species